UGCUUUCAAAAGAAAACAGUAGGAUCA
rnacentral:piRNA from 1 species